UACGAGCGCACCCUUGUCCUUAGUUGCCAGCAUUUCGGAUGGGAACUCUAAGGAGACUGCCGGUGAUAAACCGGAGGAAGGUGGGGAUGACGUCAAGUCAUCAUGGCCCUUAUGGGCUGGGCUACACACGUGCUACAAUGGUCGGUACAGAGGGUUGCAAAGCGGCGACGUGGAGCUAAUCUCAGAAAACCGGUCGUAGUCCGGAUUGCAGUCUGCAACUCGACUGCAUGAAGUCGGA
rnacentral:rRNA from 1 species